AAGAACAUGGUCGGUGAACUCAAAUGACUUUAUAACGUAAAACGUACGAAUAAUCUGAUCUACGGAUAUUUGAAUCUACGAUUGUGUAAUGUACAAAAAAUUGUGAUAUAUAUCUAUAUAUAUAUAAAAAUGAAUUGCUGUUCGUUAGUCUCGCUAAGACUCGAGAACGGCUGGACCGAUUUGGCUAAUUUUGGUCUUGAAUUAUUUGUGAAAGUCCAGAGAAGGUUUAAAAGGUAGAUAAAUACGGGAAUGCUCAGAAUUAAAUAAAAAUAACAAUUUUGUUUGUCCUUUGAUGUGUCCCCCAUCGGAUGGAUUCCUUUUGUCUUUUAUUUAUCGAUUGAGGCACUACGAAGUCUGCCGGGUCAACUAGUCGUGUAUAAAAAUCAAAUCCUUAUCAACAAAGACAGCAGAUUACGUUUUUCUGUGAAUUUUCUCAGAGAUCCCAAAGUGAUUUGAAUGUCGUUACCAACAUCAAAUGUGUUUUUUUCUGCAAAAUACUAUAAUAUGUGCGUAGUUGUAUUACUAGUAUUAACAAGUAGAGUCUUCAUUUGAUUUAUUAGAGCAAGGAAGUUCUCUUUGAGUUCAAUUUAAUGGCGCAACAAUAAAAAUAAGGUGAAGGCCGUGACAUGAAAAAUGCCUAAAGUAACAACCGGAAUUUGUUUUAUUGUAUUCGAAGACAUAUGAUGGUGAUGGUGGUGAACGGUCACCGUCACUUAUGGGCAUCAGCAUGUCAGAAGUGCAGCCAAGCCACUGUUUAUCGCACAGAAUAAGAAGAAAAAAAUGUUUUAAGAAAAAAAAAAUUGAUUUAUGGAACCACUAUGAAGAGAAGAGUUCAUUUCCUAGAUGGUACUCGUCAAAAUUGAUAUCUGAAAUAAAAUAAUCUCUAUCGUAUUUAAGCGAUACAGGUCAUCUAUUAGUUCCUAUUAAAUUAUACGCAGGUUUUACUAUGUCUUCUUACAUUUGGUUACAAGCUGUUACUGAUUCCAAAUCUGUUAAAACUCGACCACAUCACUACUCAUAUUAGUAUUGUUAUUAUUAAAAACUCCCGCAGGUUCGAGAGUAUAGACAUCUAUGGAACUAAAUAAGAUCGCGCCGCGAUUUUAUAAUGUAGCAGUAGCGUUAAAUAUUAUCGAAAACACAAACAGGUAGUUUGCAUACAAAGUUGUCCACUAUCGAGCAGGUUUGUUACGAAAGUAAAUUAACAUAACGUGAAGUGUAAGUACGAGAUUUAAACGUGCCUGAAGGACCUAGCCGCACGAAACGAAAAUAAAAAAUGCUUUGUUUGUAAGGGCAGUGACCCUGAGAGUUAUAUCGAUGCUAAUACAUAAAUGUAUUACAGGCAACAAACGGUAAUCGGAGAUCAUAUGCAUACAAUCUUAACAUGAAUACUGCCUGCGUCUUAAGACUUACUGGUGGUAGGACCUCUUGUGAGUCCGCGCGGAUUCCUACCUGAUGUCUUAAUCGUGACUGCGGUUAAGUCAACUGCUUUAAUAGCCUCUGCGAAAUAUAUUGAAGUGAACUACUUUAAUAACGUGAUUUGAAGACGGAUGAAACCAAAGAGCGACACUAAAAAGGUAUAAACAUGCAGACUUAUAGAAUUUAGCCCGCGAAACAAUCAAACGAGUACUUUAUUUUAAGGGUUUUUGUGAUCUGGUAAGUAAGACCUUUAGGUCAAGUCUUAUUUUAAUACAUAUUUGACGGCGUUAACGAUAUUUAUGUUAUAUAGCACGUGCAAUAGGAGUGACUCACACAAUCCAGGCGCGCCGGCCGUGUCGUUCCACUCGUAAACAACAGCUGCAACAGAAGUGACUCAUAAGCCAGCUGCGCCGGCUAGUAUAAAAAGGCGGAACGUGCCUUGAAAUGAACAUUCGUUGGACUGCGCUUGCCUGGUGCACUUACUAUAUCCUUGUUACGUUGUGUGAUUCAGUGACUGUUGUACGUACUGGUUAAAGUUGGACAAGUGUUAAAGUGAAUUGUUAAGAUAACAUAUUGUUGAUUAAAUCAGGAAUCAAAAAGUGACAUCGUUUUACUUGGUGUUCAACAAGAUAAUGUCUACCCUCAAGCUUACAUCAGAAGUGAGAUCAGGACUCUACUCUCACUGGCGUGACGUGUUUGAACAUGUUCGAAGUACAGCAAAAAAAACAUGAUGCAGAUCAGAAUACUAGUAGUGGUACGCCACAAGAGCGUGAAUGCAGCAUACGUAAGUCGUGUAAUAACGUCUCUGUUACCUCGAUGGAAGAUCUGAGCCACGAAGAAAUCGUCACAUCUUACGUUCUGGCUCAUGUUGCCCAGUUUGACUGUCGACUUCAUCACAUGGCAUUUACUAACGGAAAUACAACACGUAACAAGCUAUUGCAAGAAAUUAAGGCAAGUGCAAAUCUCAAGUGAAACUUCGAUCGCAAUAAUGGAUCUGUCAUGACGAGUGGGUAGUUCCGACACGAAUCGUUUUUAAGCCAAUGACUACUGCUAGAGUUACAUGGCACUAGUACAGUAAACCAGGACAUGAGACUGUGAAUUGUCGCUGAAAUUUUAGAAUCUACUCUAUUCAAUACCAAUAACACUACACGUUCGAUGACUUCGGGCUCCAGCAAGCAAGCAAACAAGAAAGCAAGCAAGUUUCCGUGGGGAAGAAAAAUUGACACAUCUGAAGUCGUCGUGACCUAGACGUCCGGUGCGUUCGUGUCUGGCGAUGCGGCGAUGUUCGGGUUCCGGCUGGCGGAUGCAGGUUUUUCCGGUGAAGUGCGUGCUUGUGCGUGCUUGACAAGUGUUCGCGGUUGGCUUCCUCAGUGUGGGAGUAACAUCGUGUAAGAGAGGUGGAACCCGUAAAAUUGUAGUUUGCGUGGUGGCUGGUAAGAUUUGUUGCGGUAAGAAGUUUGCAUGGUGGUAAAAUGUCUUGUGAGUCUGCACAGGUAGCCGGAGGUGAGACUUCCGCGGUCGCGGCCCACCCAGUCCGCGAGAACCGGGCAGAUCGCCUCGACGGUACGGAGGCCGGCCGACGGGUCCGCCAAACGACGAGACCACGCCUCCAGCACGGACUGCCGAUAUUGGAGCCCCCGCGCUCCGGCUGCACUUGCGCUAGGGUGCGCCGCCUCGUAGGAGACUGUGAGGUAUCAUUGAAUAACUGCGAUCGCGCGCUGCCGGCGUCGCAGCGCGGCGACGUUCUCGUGGGUAAGGACGUGGCACCAGACGGGUGCUCCGUAUAGUGCCAUCGACCGCACGGGUACCAUCACCCUGCCUAUUUCUGCCGUGAAGCAGUGGUGUAUUUCGGUUUGGAGGGUGGGGCAGCGGUUGUAACUAUACUGAGACCUUAGAACUUCUAUCUCAAGGUGUGUGGUGCGUUUACGCUGUGGAUGUCUAUGGGUUCCAGUAACCACUUAACACAAGGUGGGCUGUGAGCUCGUCCACACAUUAAUACGAAGAGCAUAAUCAAACGAAAUUAGAUACGAAGUUUAAAGGGCCGUUUAAAGUAGUUGAAGUAUUGGAUGGUGUCGAUUUAAUUUUGACUCUCACACAUUCGCUUAAGGCUCGAGCUACUACUUGCCUCACAAAAAUACAGCCUGCAUGCAAAACCUGAACAACCUCCUCAUCCGUGGGCGCCCGGCUCUCGCCUGCAAGUCGGCUGUUACGUGUGCGGUGAUGCGAGCCAUGUAGCUUCUGGGUGUUCCAUGCGCUACAAGAAGAAAAACGACACUGCUCCAGGUGCUGUGGCAGGUCCAACCAGAGACGUCAACGUGUGUUCCAGAGCUUCAGUGUGUUACAGAUAAGUGGUUUUGGCUUCCCGUUUAUGUUCCAUUCAGGGUCAGAAUGUAGUCUUAUAAAACAAAGUCAUAGUAAUUUAUUCAAUGGUAAGCGGUUUCAUGAACAAGUCACUCUUUGAUCUGAAAGUAACUUAGACCAAUCAUGAUGGCAAGAGCACUUAGGGGAUAUUCAACUCGCCCUUAAUAGUGCACGUUGUCGAGUAAAAGGGUUUACUCCAAUAGAAUAGACGUUUGCCGUUCAGGGUAGUUCACUUGAAAUAUCUAAAGUUUCAACAGAGUGAUAAUCCCUCUAGAUUAGAUCUUGAUUUAGCACGGUCGAAGACCGGCGAAAACAUAAAAAAGGGCACAAACAGAAGCUUGGUUUAGUCGAGGCAAAGCUAAAGUCAAACUCUUUGCCGCUGGGGAUUUUGUUUUCGUAAGUUGACCGAAAAUGUAAAGGUCCCUUCAACAUUACUGCAGUUUUGGAAAACGAUAGGUAUAAAUUGAGACAUGUAAAUAGUUCUAAUAGAGUGUACAAAUUUCCCCAUGAAAACUUACGUGAAAUACCUCGAGGCCCGUCAGGCCUACUAGAAAUUUCUAAAAAUUAUAGUGACGAUGACGUGACGGCGUACACAGAUGGGUUAAUUAAUCUUGUUCAUGAAACUGAUCUUAAUGGUGACGACUCUAUCACUGACAAUAGAAGCGACAUUUUUGUCCGCAAAUAGCGAUACAGCAAACAUAGUCUGUGGGUAGUGAUACAAUGUCUGUAAGCUCAGGCACCUCAGGUGCAGGUGUUGGAAAUGUAGAAAACGAUGGUCGGUCUCGCACUAUUUCUGAAGAAAUUCCGUAUAAAUUUUCUGGUUUAAGAAAUGUUUUAACAAACGCUACCGUACACGCAGAUUAAAAAGAAUUGUAUGUGGCUAGAGAGAUGUUAAUCCGGACUAGCAAAAAAAAAAGAGAGGAAAAAAAAAAAGAAAGUGUGAAGUCAUUGAAGGGUCUGUCCGGUCCAAUGGCUUGGCUAUAGGGAUUUUCAUCCAGAUUAGCCACAACAAUUAGCUACAGGGAUUGCGAUUCGGUCUAGCAUUAUCCGGUCCAGUUCGAAAAACUGAAGGGAUAACAAUUCCGGUCUAAGUUAAAAGGGACAUACUUACAUACCUGAAGAGUUUUAAAUGAACUGGCCCAGGUAUGUAAGCAGUCUGAAGGUUAUUUAUAGCCAGUAUAGGAUUUUCUGAAGAAUUAUGCGAACCGAACCGUACUAGAUUGUUAAUAUCAUAGACCACGUUUUAAGUUGCAUCCGUUAAUGUCAGGAUGAACGAACACGUUUGUUGUUCACAGACAUACCAUAAGAAUGCGCGCACGAGGACGAGCGCACGUCAGUAUGGCCGUGACGGCGUUAACGAUAUUUAUGUUAUAUAGCACGUGCAAUAGGAGUGACUCACACAAUCCAGGCGCGCCGGCCGUGUCGUUCCACUCGUAAACAACAGCUGCAACAGAAGUGACUCAUAAGCCAGCUGCGCCGGCUAGUAUAAAAAGGCGGAACGUGCCUUGAAAUGAACAUUCGUUGGACUGCGCUUGCCUGGUGCACUUACUAUAUCCUUGUUACGUUGUGUGAUUCAGUGACUGUUGUACGUACUGGUUAAAGUUGGACAAGUGUUAAAGUGAAUUGUUAAGAUAACAUAUUGUUGAUUAAAUCAGGAAUCAAAAA